UACGGAGGGGGCUAGCGUUGUUCGGAAUCACUGGGCUUAAAGGGCGCGUAGGCGGGUUCGCAAGUCAGGGGUGAAAUCUUUCAGCUUAACUGGAAAACAGCCCCUGAUACUGCGAGUCUCGAGGGAGGUAGGGGCAUGUGGAACUUCCGGUGGAGCGGUGAAAUGCGCAGAUAUCAGGAGGAACACCAAUGGCGAAGGCAGCUCGCUGGAACGGAACUGACGCUGAGGCGCGAAAGCGUGGGGAGCGAACAGG
rnacentral:rRNA from 1 species